AUUGAACGCUGGCGGCAGGCCUAACACAUGCAAGUCGAGCGGAUGAAGGGAGCUUGCUCCUGGAUUCAGCGGCGGACGGGUGAGUAAUGCCUAUGAAUCUGCCUGGUUGUGGGGGAUAACGUCCGGAAACGGGCGCUAAUACCGCAUACGUCCUGAGGUAGAAAGUGGGGGUUCUUCGGACCUCACGCUAUCAGAUGAGCCUAGGUCGGAUUAGCUAGUUGGUGGGGUAAAGGCCUACCAAGGCGACGAUCCGUAACUGGUCUGAGAGGAUGAUCAGUCACACGGGAAGUGAGACACGGAACAGAGUCGUACGGGAGGCAGCAGUGGGGAAUAUGGGACAAUGGGCGAAAGCAUGAUACAGCAAUGCCGCGUGUGUGAAGAAGGUCUUCGGAUUGUAAAGCACUUUAAGUUGGGAGGAAGGGCAGUAAGUUAAUACCUAGCUGUUUUGACGUUAACAACAGAAUAAGCACCGGCUAACUUCGUG
rnacentral:rRNA from 1 species